rnacentral:rRNA from 1 species
UUUUGGACAAUGGGCGCAAGCCUGAUCCAGCAAUGCCGCGUGCAGGAAGAAGGCCUUCGGGUUGUAAACUGCUUUUGUACGGAACGAAACGGUCCUGGUUAAUACCUGGGGCUAAUGACGGUACCGUAAGAAUAAGCACCGGCUAACUACGUGGCAGCAGCCGCGGUAAUACGUAGGGUGCAAGCGUUAAUCGGAAUUACUGGGCGUAAAGCGUGCGCAGGCGGUUUUGUAAGACAGGCGUGAAAUCCCCGGGCUUAACCUGGGAAUGGCGCUUGUGACUGCAAAGCUGGAGUGCGGCAGAGGGGGAUGGAAUUCCGCGUGUAGCAGUGAAAUGCGUAGAUAUGCGGAGGAACACCGAUGGCGAAGGCAAUCCCCUGGGCCUGCACUGACGCUCAUGCACGAAG